rnacentral:rRNA from 1 species
CCUACGGGUGGCAGCAGUGGGGAAUAUUGGGCAAUGGGCGCAAGCCUGACCCAGCAACGCCGCGUGAAGGAAGAAGGCUUUCGGGUUGUAAACUUCUUUUUUCAGGGACGAAGCAAGUGACGGUACCUGCCGAAUAAGCCACGGAUAACUACGUGCCAGCAGCCGCGGUAAUACGUCGGUGGCAAGCGUUAUCCGGAUUUACUGGUUGUAAAGGUCGUGUAGGCGGGACUGCAAGUCAGAUGUGAAAAUCACGGGCUCAACCUGUGUACUGCAUUUGACACUGUAGUUCUUGAGUACUGGAGAGGCAGACGGAAUUCCUAGUGUAGCGGUGAAAUGCGUAGAUAUUACGAGGAACACCAGUGGCGAAGGCGGUCUGCUGGACAGCAACUGACGUUGAGGCGCGAAAGCGUGGGGAGCAAACAGGAUUAGAUACCCGAGUAGUC